rnacentral:rRNA from 1 species
UGAGGAAUAUUGGUCAAUGGACGAGAGUCUGAACCAGCCAAGUAGCGUGAAGGAUGACUGCCCUAUGGGUUGUAAACUUCUUUUAUACGGGAAUAAAGUGAGGCACGUGUGCCUUUUUGUAUGUACCGUAUGAAUAAGGAUCGGCUAACUCCGUGCCAGCAGCCGCGGUAAUACGGAGGAUCCGAGCGUUAUCCGGAUUUAUUGGGUUUAAAGGGAGCGUAGGCGGACGCUUAAGUCAGUUGUGAAAGUUUGCGGCUCAACCGUAAAAUUGCAGUUGAUACUGGGUGUCUUGAGUACAGUAGAGGCAGGCGGAAUUCGUGGUGUAGCGGUGAAAUGCUUAGAUAUCACGAAGAACUCCGAUUGCGAAGGCAGCUUGCUGGACUGUAACUGACGCUGAUGCUCGAAAGUGUGGGUAUCAAACAGGAUUAGAUACCCUGGUAGUCCACACAGUAAACGAUGAAUACUCGCUGUUUGCGAUAUACAGUAAGCGGCCAAGCGAAAGCGUUAAGUAUUCCACCUGGGGAGUACGCCGGCAACGGUGAAACUCAAAGGAAUUGACGGGGGCCCGCACAAGCGGAGGAACAUGUGGUUUAAUUCGAUGAUACGCGAGGAACCUUACCCGGGCUUGAAUUGCAACUGAAUGAUGUGGAGACAUGUCAGCCGCAAGGCAGUUGUGAAGGUGCUGCAUGGUUGUCGUCAGCUCGUGCCGUGAGGUGUCGGCUUAAGUGCCAUAACGAGCGCAACCCUUAUCGAUAGUUACCAUCAGGUUAUGCUGGGGACUCUGUCGAGACUGCCGUCGUAAGAUGUGAGGAAGGUGGGGAUGACGUCAAAUCAGCACGGCCCUUACGUCCGGGGCUACACACGUGUUACAAUGGGGGGUACAGAAGGCAGCUAUACGGCGACGUGAUGCUAAUCCCGAAAGCCUCUCUCAGUUCGGAUUGGAGUCUGCAACCCGACUCCAUGAAGCUGGAUUCGCUAGUAAUCGCGCAUCAGCCACGGCGCGGUGAAUACGUUCCC